rnacentral:rRNA from 1 species
AAAGAUAAAUAAAAAACACAUCUCUUCAUGUCGAUUUGUCUCUAUUUUCUAUUCAUAUAAUUUAAUCUAGAUAUAGAUAGUGGCUCUUGUGUACAAUGACGUUGAAGUCUUAACGAUGAUUGAUUACGUAAUCCCUAGUGGCAUAGUCCGGUCUAGUUAUUAUGCAACUACAGUUUUUCAUAUAUAAUUAUGGUCAGACUAAUUAUGAUACCAAUAUGGAUCUCUUUGCUAGAUUACGACAGUUGACUCUACUCGCCGGCGUUAGUUCAAACCCACCUCUUUUCUAUGUUGCUAGGUACACCGACUAGCGGUGUUCGCCGGCGCUAUAACCCUUAAGUCCCAGUUUAGUACACUCGUUCGACAAUUAUAGAGAUUAAGAUCUUAGCGAGGAAAAUACCAAACUUUCUGUGUUGGUUUAGAUUACGACCUUUAUUUUUGAUUUGGAACAAAGGAGCAAUCCAUCGAGUAGGUAGGUACUCCGGCCGGCCUGUCUUACUCGACGACCUAGCUGUGUUACUGUGAAAGUACAGCGGAAGGGAAGACCUACCUAUCUAAUCUGUCUUCUAGAUCGUCCGCCGGCUGCCGGCCGCGCUAGAGACCUCGUCAAGAAAAUCCAACCUUAGCUUCCCUAAUCACCCAUGACGAAGCAUCGGACCGGGGAAGCGAAAGUACUACCCGAUACAAAGGAAAAAUAAAAAGACCCUAAACCCGGAAAUCCGACGUUAGUUGACUAGUGGUAAUGUACCCGGGAGCGACCGAUACCCUUCGUGUUUAGUGUGUCCCCCCCGCUUCGUUCGGUGCAUGUGAACGCAUCGGUUGUUUUAAUCGCUGGUUGACUAGCGAUAAUUCCACGCCGUGCUAGCAAUCCCCCCCAGAGCGGGGGGGAGCAGGGGGGAACUUAGGCAGGGACGA